rnacentral:rRNA from 1 species
GAUGAACGCUGGCGGCGUGCCUAAUACAUGCAAGUCGAGCGAACAGACGAGGAGCUUGCUCCUCUGACGUUAGCGGCGGACGGGUGAGUAACACGUGGAUAACCUACCUAUAAGACUGGGAUAACUUCGGGAAACCGGAGCUAAUACCGGAUAAUAUAUUGAACCGCAUGGUUCAAUAGUGAAAGACGGUUUUGCUGUCACUUAUAGAUGGAUCCGCGCCGCAUUAGCUAGUUGGUAAGGUAACGGCUUACCAAGGCAACGAUGCGUAGCCGACCUGAGAGGGUGAUCGGCCACACUGGAACUGAGACACGGUCCAGACUCCUACGGGAGGCAGCAGUAGGGAAGCUUCCGCAAUGGGCGAAAGCCUGACGGAGCAACGCCGCGUGAGUGAUGAAGGGCUUCGGAUCGUAAAACUCUGUUAUUAGGGAAGAACAAAUGUGUAAGUAACUAUGCACGUCUUGACGGUACCUAAUCAGAAAACCACGGCUAACUACGU